rnacentral:rRNA from 1 species
CGGACGGGUGAGUAACGCGUGAGAAUCUGCCUUCAGGAUGGGGAUAACAGCGGGAAACUGCUGCUAAUACCCAAUGUGCCGAGAGGUGAAAGUAUUUCGCCUGAAGAGGAGCUCGCGUCUGAUUAGCUAGUUGGUGUGGUAAGAGCGCACCAAGGCAACGAUCAGUAGCUGGUCUGAGAGGAUGAGCAGCCACACUGGGACUGAGACACGGCCCAGACUCCUACGGGAGGCAGCAGUGGGGAAUUUUCCGCAAUGGGCGAAAGCCUGACGGAGCAAUACCGCGUGAGGGAAGAAGGUUCAAGUAAUUGUAAACCUCUUUUAUCAGGGAAGAAAAAAAUGACGUUACCUGAAGAAAAAGCAUCGGCUAACUCCGUGCCAGCAGCCGCGGUAAUACGGAGGAUGCAAGCGUUAUCCGGAAUUAUUGGGCGUAAAGCGUCCGCAGGUGGUGAAACAAGUCUGCUGUCAAAGACUAGAGCUUAACUCUGGGAAGGCGGUGGAAACUGUAGCACUAGAGACCGGUAGGGGUAGAGGGAAUUCCCAGUGUAGCGGUGAAAUGCGUAGAGAUUGGGAAGAACACCAGUGGCGAAAGCGCUCUACUGGGCCGGAACUGACACUAAGGGACGAAAGCUAGGGGAGCGAAAGGGAUUAGAUACCCCUGUAGUC